UGAUGGGCAGAGAUAAACAUGGGUCUCUUCCCCCCUCCUUUUUUUUCCCAAUAAACAAGACUUAGAUUGCAAUCUUAACCCCUUCACCAAGGAGUAAGCCCCAUUGAAUUCAAUUGGGGCUUACUUCUGAGUAGACACUGAUAGGAUUGCUGAAGGCAGAUGGGAAGUGGGAUGCUCCUCUAAGAUACACCCUCCCCCCUGUUGACAUCAGACAUGCAGGACCAUCCCCAGGAAACAGUUCCACUGUAUACACCUGGGAUUUACCAGUCACGUUUUGAAGCUGGAGUGCAGCUGAUUUUGGGGAUACCGCAUCAAAAGACAGUAUUUCAGAAGAAAUGAGUGGACUGUGGGUAAUUGUGGAUGCAGAAGAGAAGCUUGGAGACAACACGUGAGCACUGCAGCUACAAUCCUAUACCCACUUAUCUGAACUUACAACCUAGACACUUAACUCACUUCUUGCACUCUAAGGGAUAGGGAAUAUGAAGGAAUGACAGAUGGGGCAGGUGAGAGGCAAACGAUCUUACAUACUAGCAGACUGUCAGCAAACACAUUGUGAAUUAUGUAUGUGGCCCUCAGAACAUUGUCCAGAAGGGAAUGUGGCUCUUGGAUUGAAAAAGGUUCCCAACUCCUGUUGUACUGAGUGACUCUGCUUAUCAGCCAAGCCUGGGUCUGCUGAUCAGUCAAAACCUUCCACCUUUGCACCAACAAAACACAACAAAGAAAAUGGCAGUUACAGGAGUUUUGUGACUUCAGAAGAUAUCUCUGCCAUUUUAGAAGCAAAGUGGCUACAUUCCUUCCCAUUUAAUUAUGAAGCUAUUCUCCAUCAAUUCAAACUAAUCAUCUACAAAAUUAAAUGCAGUUGUGCAAACACAAA